GGUUGUGGCUCAGUGGUAAUGCACUUGCCUAGCAUGCAUGAGGCACUGGGUUCGGUCUCCAGCACCA
rnacentral:tRNA from 1 species